ACAAUUUUCACAGGAGCUGUCUUCGGAUGGCAUCUGUGCAAAACAAUUCACAUUUUGUGCACUGUAUGUCUCUGGCGGCCGGACCAAAGCAAGCACCUACUGGAUGUGAUGCUUUGUUCUGUCAGCUUGGUCCACUUGUGGGCUAGGCCGUGGACAAACCGCCAACCACUUUUCUUUAACUCAUUAUUCAUUCUUCUGUCUAACAUAUAUUGUCGUAUUGAAAAUACAAAA
rnacentral:misc_RNA from 1 species